rnacentral:pre_miRNA from 1 species
UUUGUACUCCCUCCGUCAAAAAAUACUUAUCAUCAAAAUGGAUAAAAGGAGAUGUAUCUAGACGUAUUUUAGUUCUAGAUACAUCUAUUUUUAUCCAUUUUGAUGACAAGUAUUUUUGGACGGAGGGAGUAAUAA